rnacentral:rRNA from 1 species
UACGUAGGUGGCAAGCGUUGUCCGGAAUUAUUGGGCGUAAAGCGCGCGCAGGCGGUCCUUUAAGUCUGAUGUGAAAGCCCACGGCUCAACCGUGGAGGGUCAUUGGAAACUGGGGGACUUGAGUGCAGGAGAGAAGAGUGGAAUUCCACGUGUAGCGGUGAAAUGCGUAGAGAUGUGGAGGAACACCAGUGGCGAAGGCGACUCUUGGCCUGUAACUGACGCUGAGGCGCGAAGCGUGGGGAGCAAACAGG